rnacentral:rRNA from 1 species
UGGGGAAUCUUGCACAAUGGGGGCAACCCUGAUGCAGCGACGCCGCGUGAGCGAUGAAGGUUUUCGAAUCGUAAAGCUCUGUCCUAUGGGAAGAUAAUGACGGUACCAUAGGAGGAAGCCCCGGCUAACUACGUGCCAGCAGCCGCGGUAAUACGUAGGGGGCGAGCGUUGUCCGGAAUUACUGGGCGUAAAGCGCGCGCAGGUGGUUUAGAAAGUCUGAUGUGAAAGCCCACGGCUCAACCGUGGAGGGUCAUUGGAAACUAAUAAACUUGAGUGCAGGAGAGAAAAGUGGAAUUCCUAGUGUAGCGAUGAAAUGCGUAGAGAUUAGGAGGAACACCGGUGGCGAAAGCGGCUUUUUGGCCUGCAACUGACACUGAGGCGCGAAAGCGUGGGGAGCAAACAGG